rnacentral:rRNA from 1 species
GACGAACGCUGGCGGCGUGCCUAAUACAUGCCAGUAGAACGCUGAAGCGAGGAGCUUGCUCUUCUUGGAUGAGUUGCGAACGGGUGAGUAACGCGUAGGUAACCUGCCUUGUAGCGGGGGAUAACUAUUGGAAACGAUAGCUAAUACCGCAUAACAAUGGAUGACACAUGUCAUUUAUUUGGAAGGGGCAAUUGCUCCACUACAAGAUGGACCUGCGUUGUAUUAGCUAGUAGGUGAGGUAAUGGCUCACCUAGGCGACGAUACAUAGCCGACCUGAGAGGGUGAUCGGCCACACUGGGACUGAGACACGGCCCAGACUCCUACGGGAGGCAGCAGUAGGGAAUCUUCGGCAAUGGGGGCAACCCUGACCGAGCAACGCCGCGUGAGUGAAGAAGGUUUUCGGAUCGUAAAGCUCUGUUGUAAGUCAAGAACGGGUGUGAGAGUGGAAAGUUCACACUGUGACGGUAGCUUACCAGAAAGGGACGGCUAACUACGUG